GAAUAUGGAAGCAGCGUUCUAACAGUCGGAUCUCAGUGGAACAGAGUCCAUCCACAUGUAUUUGGAGGAGCUGAAGCAGAGGAUGGAGAACACAGACCACCAAGGAGGAGAAACAUGGCUGCCCUGCUCGUCUCUCCAACAUUCUGGAGUCCUGGAAUGAAAAACGUCGACGACCCCGCAGCUAAACCAUCAGUCUGCUCCACCCAGAAAGAAGAUUUCUUCCGUCGUCUCCUCGUUGGACCGGCACCUCUUGGACGUC